CCGUCAGGACGAACGCUGGCGGCGUGCUAAUACAUGCAAGUCGAGCGGACAGAAGGGAGCUUGCUCCCGGAUGUAAGCGGCGGACGGGUGAGUAACACGUGGGUAACCUGCCUGUAAGACUGGGAUAACUCCGGGAAACCGGAGCUAAUACCGGAUAGUUCCUUGAACCGCAUGGUUCAAGGAUGAAAGACGGUUUCGGCUGUCACUUACAGAUGGACCCGCGGCGCCAUUAAGCUAGUUGGUGAGGUAACGGCUCACCAAGGCGGACGAUGCGUNAGCCGACCUGAGAGGGUGAUCGGCCNCACUGGGACUGAGACACGGCCCAGACUCCCUACGGGAGGCAGCAGUAGGGAAUCUUCCGCAAUGGACGAAAGUCUGACGGAGCAACGCCGCGUGAGUGAUGAAGGUUUUCGGAUCGUAAAGCUCUGUUGUUAGGGAAGAACAAGUGCAAGAGUAACUGCUUG
rnacentral:rRNA from 2 species